rnacentral:sRNA from 1 species
AUUUGUCCUACCGCUGCGAAGAAGUGUUCUGGAGAUUCUAUUUCUUCCUCUUCUUUACAGCUUCUGCAGAAGUCAUACGGCACCUCGAGUCUAUUGGCAUGGAUGCCGACUACCCAGUGUCCUGUUGUAGCACGGAUUACUGCAGAGCAGUUCGUGUAACUGAGAUUACACAGCUCUCUACAGUAUUUUGUGUUGAUAUUGGGCCAUGUUUGGUGUUCUGUGCGACCGCAGUUGGCAUUUCGCCAUUUAUCAUUUGACUUGCGUGUACUUUCUUCCUGAUAUUGAGCUUAUAGGUACCGCCGAUGCCUGGUUCCUUAUCCGUGAGGAGGAGUAAUGGAGUUCCUUUCCCAGGUAGUUCAUUAGCUUUACAGUUGCUUUCAUUGGCCUGGUGACCCAUAUCAGGCUAAUAACAUGCUGCUUAGCCAUAUCAUGCAGAGAUUUGCGACAACUUGUUACCAAAACUAUAUACUGAAGGGUGUUUCUAGUUAUAUACUGGCACGCAGUAGUCUGUUUUCGAAGGGAUGAUUUUAAUUCCUUUCUAAGACAUGGAAUGUCCAGGACAGCGUUUAUUGCCCCACUUGGUGUGGUUCGAAGAGCCCCAGAGAUGCGCAAUUCAGCCAUGCGCUGAACUUUGUUGAUUUGAUUUUGGGUGGUUUGCUUUUUCAGGCAAAGCCUCUACACCAUAAAGAAGUAUUUGUCUGACAAUAGAUGUGUACACCCAUCGAACAAAAUUUGCGGACAUACCCCAUUUGAGCCCAACCGAUUUCCUCCACGUGUAUAAAGCGACUGUUUUCCGUAUUUGGGUAUUAAGUAUUUACUAAUUAUUGGCUGAUGGAACUGCCAAUUUAAGCGACCGGUGUGUUGUUGAGCUCGAUAUGCGCACUCUCGCUAUGCUCGUCCUGGCUCGCCGGAUUGUCGGGGUUCUUUCUCACUCAAUCAAUACGGAUGUACUCUGCCACAUUUAAUUAGUGCGCGUUUACAAAACAAGUAACAACUUGAGUUACUGAAAUUUAAUUAUCAAUUAUUGGAGACGCCGACACUUCCUAUAACUAUACUGAGACACUAGUCCUGUUGGAGGGAACAUAGAUGGUAGUUGUCCCUCUUCUUUACCCACCCUACCAUGAUAAUGAUAUCAAUUUUGUUACAUUACCCUUGGACGGACUCUUAAAAUCCUACCACAUUCUGUAAAAACUUAACAUGGAUACGCGACAGACGAAUACUACUCCUCAGCACCUCAUUUAAAUUGCUUUCAAAUUCACAUAUUCUUCCUUAACU